UAUUUCAAAUAGUACUGAAUAUUACGAAUUAUAAAUUUCGUUUUCGUUUCGGUUCCUUUACAGCAAUCGUGACCACUGGUAUAACCGUGACCAUAUAGAUUUAAAUCAAUAUAUACGUAGUAGCCCAAAAACUCCCCUUUUCAUUCUAAUUUUUACACGCGAAAAUCUUUGAUAUCAAUAUUAUAGUUAAAGAUCUUCUGAAGAAUCAACAAGGAAUUUAACUAGGUAACCAAUGUAAUUUAAUGGCAACAACCGUAAUAUACAAAAUACACAGCCAAUAUUUACAAUCACUAAGUUUGAUGUUGAAUAAAAAUGAUAAGGGGUUUCUUGCGGAAUCAACAGGAUAUGAGGAGUAAAAAUAAAAUUCAUAGGAUGAACCGAGGGCUUGAAAUCCUAAACCCACUAAACGGGAAGAGCCAAGCCUGGAUAACUAUUUGGAAGCGCCGAGUAAUUUAUAAAGGAUUUUACGCUUAGCAGGUUUAAAAUGUCUUCCUUGCGGUAUCGACCCUGUGACUAUGCGGAGACCUUUGAUCGUUGGCGACAGUACUUUUGACUAUCGGCCUACCAGUUGGCCGGGCAUGGUAGUUAACAAUCAGGACAAGAAAGUCAGAUACCAACUUAUCAAUUAUGAACGUCCAAUUCAACCCCACUAUCCAUCUUGUGCACCUUCAUACAACUAACUCCAAACAUUCAUAAGACAUGCGGCGGAUGCUCCACGGGAUGCUGUUCACCUUGCUGCUCCCCACCCUGCUGCGGAAGCGGUUCACUUGUCACAGUAUACAGUCAAGUAGCACACAUCCAGUGACGGGCUGCCGUUACGAUUACAUUUUUAAUUAGAUGCAAUACUGGCUGUGGGGCAGCCGCCAAAACCCAUAGCAGCAUUUGACAAGGCGGUCAUAGCAAUUGGACACCAUUAAACGUAUGAAUCCAGGCGGAAAGAUAGUCUUGUCAAAAUUGUGACGUUUUCGUUUGUUUAAAUUGCCGUAAAUAAAUUGAUAUUUAUAUUUUA